CGGUACCAGCAAGGAAGGGUCGAGGCCACGAGAUGAAGGUCCCACCUCUUGCUGGAAUGAGCCUUAAUUUGAUAGGGGUUGGGCUGAGCCAGGACUGUGAGAAGGAAGCCGCUCCUAUUGGAUCCAGAUGUGAGCGGAAGGACAGACAACAGCUCGACUGAAAGCCACCGGACAUGAUGUGGCAGACAAUAGAGGCCGUGGACAGCUGUUAAUCUAGUAACAUCUGGCUCCGUCAACCCACAUUUUUCUCUCCCAUAGUGAAUGGAUACGGACUAUUCUCAGAAAUGACAUGGUGAUCCCUUGAUCCGCUCUUGCAUCAGAUAUGUCUGGCAUGAGAUAGCUGAAGCUAGCACAGACGUGUGCACAUACACACACACACAUAUAAGCAUCAUUUGCGGUUAUGGGGCAUGGGACAUGAGGUCUGAACAGGAGCCAUUGUAGACUGCACUACCAGGCAGCCACACUGGGGCCCAUUCGCCCCUCUGAUAUGGCUCGAGUCUGAACACCUACGUCAGCCCACAAGCAGCCCGCGUGACGUCAAGCACAUGUGUGCUUUGACCAGAAGCCUGCACGAGUUGGUUUCACACAGAGAACGAAAAGGAGGACGGAAAGGGAAGAGAGCACAAUCUUGAUGUCUCAACUAUUUGUAGCCCCUAAAACAGAAACUGAGAUCAGCUUUGAUUAGAACACGCAAAAUAAAACAGCGGUAUUAGUAUUUCACAGCGAGCAUCACUGUCAGUCUAAUGGUAUAAUUAUACGUCUGCUCUCAAAUAACUCUGAGGCAUUCUUGGUGCCCACAGUAGGGCAAUGUUCAAAUAAAAUAGCACUCUCUGGUUGACCAGCAGCUGCUGGCUUAUAUAUAAAGAGAAGUGAUACAGAUGCCAAAGGAGACAGCAAUAAAAGUAAAUCAUUUCACCAGUCAAGGGUACAUCAUGUCAGAUCGAAUGGGCAGGUUUCUUGGAAUAAAAAAAUAAAAAUCAGACCUUUGUGCGUAAGUCAAUAUUCCCCUUUGUUCUUUGUGCUUCUUGUGUAAUACAAUG